GGCCUUGACAUACUAAGAACUUUCCAGAGAUGGAUUGGUGCCUUCGGGAACUUAGAUACAGGUGCUGCAUGGCUGUCGUCAGCUCGUGUCGUGAGAUGUUGGGUUAAGUCCCGNAACGAGCGCAACCCUUUUCCUUAUUUGCCAGCGGGUCAUGCCGGGAACUUUUAAGGAUACUGCCAGUGACAAACUGGAGGAAGGCGGGGACGACGUCAAGUCAUCAUGGCCCUUACGGCCAGGGCUACACACGUGCUACAAUGGUCGGUACAAAGGGUUGCUACCUCGCGAGAGGAUGCUAAUCUCAAAAAGCCAAUCGUAGUCCGGAUCGCAGUCUGCAACUCGACUGCGUGAAGUCGGAAUCGCUAGUAAUCGCGGAUCAGAAUGCCGCGGUGAAUACGUUCCCGGGCCUUGUACACACCGCCCGUCACACCAUGGGAGUUUGUUGCACCAGAAGUAGGUAGUCUAACCGCAAGGAGGACGCUUACCACGGUGUGGCCGAUGACUGGGGUGAAGUCGUAACAAGGUAGGCGUAGAUGA
rnacentral:rRNA from 1 species